rnacentral:rRNA from 1 species
GAUGAACGCUGGCGGCGUGCCUAAUACAUGCAAGUCGAGCGAACAGACGAGGAGCUUGCUCCUCUGACGUUAGCGGCGGACGGGUGAGUAACACGUGGAUAACCUACCUAUAAGACUGGGAUAACUUCGGGAAACCGGAGCUAAUACCGGAUAAUAUAUUGAACCGCAUGGUUCAAUAGUGAAAGACGGUUUUGCUGUCACUUAUAGAUGGAUCCGCGCCGCAUUAGCUAGUUGGUAAGGUAACGGCUUACCAAGGCAACGAUGCGUAGCAGACCUGAGAGGGUGAUCGGCCACACUGGAACUGAGACACGGUCCAGACUCCUACGGGAGGCAGCAGUAGGGAAUCUUCCGCAAUGGGCGAAAGCCUGACGGAGCAACGCCGCGUGAGUGAUGAAGGUCUUCGGAUCGUAAAACUCUGUUAUUAGGGAAGAACAAAUGUGUGAGUAACUAUGCACGUCUUGACGGUACCUAAUCAGAAAGCCACGGCUAACUACGUG